rnacentral:rRNA from 1 species
CAGCCGCCGCGGUAAUACCGGCGGCCCGAGUGGCGGUCACUAUUAUUGGGCUUAAAGCGUCCGUAGCCGGGUUGGGAAGUCCUCCGGGAAAUCUGGCCGCUUAACGGUCAGAAUGCCGGAGGAUACUCCCAGCCUAGGGAGCGGGAGAGGCCGAGGGUAUUCCCGGAGUAGGGGUGAAAUCCUAUAAUCCCGGGAGGACCACCUGUGGCGAAGGCGCUCGGCUGGAACGCGGCCGACGGUGAGGGACGAAGGCCAGGGGAGCAAACCGGAUUAGAUACCCGGGUAGUCCCGGCUGUAAACGAUGCGGGCUAGCUGUUGGGUGGGCUUAGAGCCCACCCAGUGGCGCAGGGAAGCCGUUAAGCCCGCCGCCUGGGGAGUACGGCCGCAAGGCUGAAACUUAAAGGAAUUGGCGGG